rnacentral:rRNA from 1 species
AUUGAAAGCUGGCGGCAUGCCUUACACAUGCAAGUCGACCGGUAACAGGUCUUCGGAUGCUGACGAGUGGCGAACGGGGGAGUAAUACAUCGGAACGUGCCUAGUAGUGGGGGAUAACUGCUCGAAAGAGUGGCUAAUACCGCAUGAGAUCUACGGAUGAAGGCAGGGGAUCGCAAGACCUUGUGCUACUAGAGCGGCCGAGGGCAGAUUAGGUAGUUGGUGGGAUAAAAGCUUACCAAGCCGACGAUCUGUAGCUGGUCUGAGAGGACGAUCAGCCACACUGGGACUGAGACACGGCCCAGACUCCUACGGGAGGCAGCAGUGGGGAAUUUUGGACAAUGGGCGCACGCCUGAUCCAGCAAUGCCGCGUGCAGGAUGAAGGCCUUCGGGUUGUAAACUGCUUUUGUACGGAACGAAAAGCCCCGGGUUAAUACCCUGGGGUCAUGACGGUACCGUAAGAAUAAGCACCGGCUAACUACUUGCCAGCCGCCGCAGUAA